UACGGAGGGUGCAAGCAUUAAUCGGGAUUAUUAGGCGUAAAGGGUGCGUAGGCGGCUGCGUAAGUCAAAUGUGAAAUCCUGGGGCUUAACUCCAGGGCUGCAUUUGAAACUGCGUGACUAGAGGAUGGACGGAGGAAGCGGAAUUCUACAUGUAGCGGUGAAAUGCGUGGAUAUGUAGAAGAACACCGGUGGCGAAAGCGGCUUUCUAGUUUAAUCCUGACGCUGAGGCACGAUAGCAGGGGGAGCAAACAGG
rnacentral:rRNA from 1 species